AUGGCCACAGCAAGCCCCCCGAAGGGGCUACAGGUACUUGCCUGACGUCAAUUUUUUAAAAAAGAAGUUCACGGUCCGGUACCGGGGGUGGGGGCGGUGUUCAAUGGGGGCCAGACUGAACUGGCCUCGAACCGAACUGGGUCAGACGGUUCCGUGCACACCCCUAGGACUGGCUUCUGCUGGAGACUGAAGAAGUGAUUGAAUUUCAAAGGUCCAUCCACAUUCCUUUUUGUGAGGAUUCUCUAGCUAUUUUAGAAUAUUACAGGUGCCCAAUCCAGCUAAGAUUAGGGGGGAGUCAGAGGGUAGGGCUGGUUGUUUUUAUUUAGGGCCAUCUACCACCUAAUUAAAAAGUGGGAAAAUGACUUGACUAGCAAGCCAGAAGUUGUUGGUUCAAAUCCCCUUUGGUAUGUUUCCAGGACUAUGGGGAACACCUAUAUCGGGCAGCAGCGAUAUAAGAAAAUGCUGAAAGGCAUCAUCUCAUACAGCGCAGGAGAUGGCAAUGGUAAACCCCUCCUGUAUUCUGCCAAAGACAACCACAGGCCUCUGUGGUUGCCAGGAAUUACUGACUCGACACCACACUUUACUUUUAGCUUUCCCCUAUGAUCCAAGUGCUACUUGAUGAGUUGUGAAUAUGAUGACAGCAAUACAGAAGAGCCAUGAAGCUCUCAAAGAGCCAUACAGAAUAUGGUGCCAUUAUUUUGGUGGGUGAGCAAUUGGUUGUUAUAAUCCUCUGAUUAUGCAGAUGGCUGCUUGGUUACACACCUGUCAUAUUAAAGAGAAUAUACACCAAAAUGAUUUAUUAGUAAUGAUUAAGGCAGCAUAUUCUGCAAGGCAACAUGGUGAACAAACUCCACACCUCUUGCAUAAAAGGCACUUUUGAAGGGGGAAAAUAUUUUAUGAAUACCUGCAAAAUCAUAUUUUGUCCUUUGCAUUAAAAUAUGACUAACUGUAAAGAGAUGGGAAUACUCCCCUACCUACCCCCGCCCACAACUGAAUGAUAUAGUUUGGUGAUAACCAGAAGGGGCUGAAUGGAAUGCCCUCUAUUGUCUUUUUAACACUUCUGCCUAUUCUUUAGCUUAAUGAAAGGGUUGCUAUGAAGAGCACUAAUCUGUGGAUAUUUCAUGGCAUUAAAAUAUUAGUUACCCAGGACAUUAAUUUUCUUCCCGAAGACUCCAGAGAACAGUUGUUACAUUUUCAGGAAUGGAAGGAACAUAUUCAGGGUGGGAAGUUUGUGACACACAGAUGGACCUUUGGAUCAGCUGCAGAGCUUUCUACCCCAAAGCUGCAUCAGCUGAAAAAAAACAGGGUGCUUACCUGUAACUUAUGAUCCCUGUGGGGAUCCAUGGUCACUCACAACUGUGUCUUCUUCGCUUGCGCAGGAGGACCUCAGAAAAAUUCUUUAGCUCCUUUUAGGCGCUCACUGGCCAUUUAGGCGCAGUGAUAUCAAAGCCUAUGAAGUUGGCUGUAGAGUGCCUCCCUCUUCAGUUCCUGAAUCAGCCACUGCAAAGUGACUGAGAAUAUGGAUAUACUGUAUACAGAAGAAAAAACAGCAAGCAAUCCACAGCAGCACAGGUAAGAUGAUACAGAUAAGCUAGCAGAGGUGAUGGCCGGGUGGGUGUUGUGAGUGGCCAUGGGAACCCCACAGGUAAGCAACCAGUUUAUCUCUGUAGGGAUCCAUGGUCACUCACAACUGGUGAGUAACUAGCUCCCAAAAACAAGGAGGUGGGGACUAGCAGCUAUAGCACUUUUAUCAAGACUGCCUGACCAAAGUUAGCCUCUGAAGCAAAAUGUAAGUCCACAGCAUAGUGACAGACAAAGGGCAGGUCGGAAGACCAAGUAGCAGCCCUGCAAAUGUCCUUCAUACUGAUGCCAGCCAUGUGGGCAGAUGAGGUAGCCAUGGCUCUAAUGGAAUGCACCCUGAUUUUAGAGGGCGGCUGAAUGCCUUGCGUCUUGUAACACAGGAAAAUCAAUUGCACUAGCCAAUUGGAUAAUCUUUGUCUCGAAAUGGCUAAACCUUUUAGUGACUCCUGCAUAGGAGAUGAACAGUUUAUCAGAUCACCGUAAAGUCUUAGUGCGAUCCAGAAAAUAAAGCAAGCACCUGCAGACAUCCAGGGCAUGCAUGAAUGUUCAAGAGGCAUGGAGGAGUUACAGAAGAAUGUAGGUAACACAAUGUCCUGAUUAAUGUGAAAAUCCGACACACUCUUUGGAUGAAAAGCACGAUCCCAAUGCAGGAUAACCUUGUCCGGGGGGAAAUUUGUAUAAGGUGAGUCAACUCUCAAGGCCGUAAGUUCACUGACACGUUUUGCCGAUGUGAUGACUACCAGAAGGCAGUCUUCAGGCACAGUAACUUCAUGGAAGAAGACAACAGCUGUUCAAACGGGGUUCUGUGAGUGUAGGUAACACAAGGGACAGGUUCUAAGGUUCAGCUCGUGGCCAUACAGGAGGGUACAGGUUGUUAACCCCCUUCAAAAAACACUUCAAGUCAGGAUGAAGAAAAAACCAGCUUGCCAUCCCAGCCCAAGUGGUGAGAGGAGAUGGCAGCUAGGUAACCCUGAGGGAAGAAUUUGAGAGGCCCAAGCCUUUGAGUGAGGUGAGGUCAAAUGCCUUUCAAAAUGCAUAGGACUCAACGCAUUUCUAUUUGCAUUUGUAGUCCCGCCUCAGAGGCCUUCCUCUCAUUCAAUAGGAUUUCAUCUAAAAGUUCAGCCUCCAUGCUGUCAAUGAGAGGGACUGGAGGGCAUGGUGUAGGAUCAAGCCCCUGUCUCUCAUAAGGAGGUCCUACUGAGGUGGAAGGCAACAGUAAAACCCUUUGCAUAGUCAGAGGACAGCUGGAAACCAAGGUUGUCUGGGCCACCAGGGGCAGAUUAGGAUGCGCUGGGUGCAUUCUUGCAAUAUCUUCCCCACCACUCUAGACAUUAGCAGAAAGGGGGUGGGGAAAGAGAUAAAACAAUUUGUCUUUCCAUUGCAGAUGGAAGGCACCCCGCCAGAGAGUUUGGGCCGAUGCCCGCCCUAGAACAGGACAAAGAACAUUUUGCAUUUUGUGCUGUGGCAAACCAGCCAAUAUUGGGGACACCCCAAAAGUCAAACACAUCUGACAGAAUAGUCAUUUAACUCCCACUCAUGGAGAUUAGAAAAUGAGAGGUCCUGACUAAAUGAGUCAGCCAAAUUGUUACCUUUCUCUUUAAUAUGUAUUGCCAUUGGGGAGGAUGUCAAAUCUCAAGCACCCUUCCCAUAACUGUAAUGCAAGGUUUUUCAGGGACCUCGAAACAGUGCCUCCCUGGUGAUUUAGGUAGGCGAUAGCCGUAGUAUUGUCAAUGUGAACCUGAACCACCUGGCCUAGGAGGAUGGGUAGGAAAGCUUUAAAAGCAAGAAACACUGCCAAGAGCUGUAAAAAAUAAAAAUGAAGCUCUUGUUGGGAGUUCCACAGGCCUCUCACCCAUAGGGAACCACAGUGAGCACCCCAGCCCUGCGUGGAAGCAUCAGUAGUUACUGAUAUUGUGGGGUUCAGUUCUUGAAAAGAAUUGAACCUUGAGAAAGCGAAUCAGGCAGGGACCAGCAUAGCAGGUCUCGCAAAUGUUCUCUGGAACGACUAACCAUUCCUUUUUAUUGUCCAGGUUUGGUCAGAAAACAGACAGUAGCCAAAGCUGUAGUCUCUGCAUUUGCAAGUGUGCGUUCAUCACAGUUGUGGUGCAAGAGGCCAUGAGGCCUAGCAGAUGCUGAAUGGAAUGAGCCCGUUGUCGUGGGGUUUCCUGGAAAGCUACAAUCAUGGAAGAAAUGGCUUGGAUGCAUCCUACAGGAGCUGAAUGGGUCCGUAUAGAUUUGGCCUGAAGUGCAUAAUACAUCACUAAAGAGUUUGGUGCCAGGUGUUUGAACAAAAAGGACAAGAUGUUUUUUGAACUCUGUACAGGUUCUCUACUUACUUGCAAGGGAGGGUCAAGGUUACUAGAGUCAACCAUGCUGCCUUGGAAGCAGCCACUAGAGAGGGCAGCAUCGGCAAUAGAGCAGGAUGCACCACAGAUGUUGAAGCCAGAUAGCUGUCUGUGACAGUCUCUUCCGGAAGAGGAACUUCUAUGCCCAAAGCCUUCACCAUCUCCUGGAUCUGUACCUGGUAUGACUUGGUUUCCUCAGAGGGGAAAUCUGAAGGCCGGGUACCCACUGAGUCAUCGGGUGGAGUACACAGGGGUACCUCAGAUACAUCGGACUCCAGAUCAGAUGGAUACGAAGACUCAUCGUCAGAAUCAGAAAUUUGUGGGACAGGAGUCCUCAGUGUAGGGUGAGGUAGUGUUCCAGGCCCAGAUGGAACCAGGUGCCUAGGAAUAGGAGUGCCCAACAGAAUAGGUUAAUUUGGCCAUUCUGGAAGUUCAGGACAUUCUGGAAUUACAGGAGCAGGUGACAAUGGCAGCACCGGUGUGGGUGGCAGUGCCUGAGGUAGUGGCAUGGUAUGCCAAGAUGAUACAGGUGGUAUUGCUGGUCUUUUGAAAAGGAAUGAGGGAAUAACUAAAGCAGAACCUUCCUGGGGCAAUGCAAGCAGCAGACAAGAAAGAACUGAAGAGGGAGACGCUCUACAGCUGUCUUUGUAGGCUCCAAUAUCACUGCACCUUAAGGUCCAGUGAGUGUCUAAACGGAGCGAAAAAAUUAUUCCGAGGUCCUCUUGCACAGGAGCAGAAGACCCAACUGUGAGUGACCAUGGAUCCCUACAGAGAUCAAGAGGUUGCGGUGCCUAAUAAUGGAACCUCUGAUGCCUGGCUUCACAUGCUUCUUCUAGAUUAGACCUUCACCAUGAGGUUGCUAUUAUCACCCUUCACCCAGUGAGCAUAAGCUCUUGAGAUGGAAACCUUCUCUGGUCUCUGUAAAUAUUAGUCUCCUAGGUAGUGAUAGUCUAGAUAUUGUACCUUUCUUCUCAC